CUGAGCUGCCUGAGUACAUCCUGGACUUUGGCUACGUCAUUCGUGGUAGUACCCACACUCACGUUGUGAAGAUCACCAACACCGGGCGGUUUCCUGUGUCCUUCUGCACUGGCCGAAGGGUCCUGCGUAGCACAGGUUUCCGUGUGGAGCCGGAGCACGUGAAGGACCUGCCGUGCUGUGAGACCGAGUCAUUCACAGUGCACUUUGACUCAGAAAGUGCCAACCUGCCACUGGGAGAGGUGGAUGUGCUCCUGCCCAUCAAGGUUCAGCCCUCCUGCAAGUCAGUGUUUCAUCACACCGCAACCACCACAGGAGAACAUAGCCCAGUCGGAAGGCUCAGCAUCUGCAGAGGGCAGCUCCAGGGAAGAGGCUGCAGAGGAGCCAGCCAAAGGCCUGGGAGCAGCAGGAGAUGCUCUCCAAAAGCCAGCAGAUGCCAACGAUUCCCUGGAAGCAAAUGUAGAUUUUCUUCUGCAGCCACAAGUGUGCUUGGCAGCAGGGCC